rnacentral:miRNA from 1 species
CCAUGCCAGGGGCGCUGGGAGGU